AUUAGAAAUUGAAAUUAAUAUUUCAUAGAUUUUAAAUUAUAUUCUCCAUAAAUGAGCUAUUGGUCUUUAGUAUUUUAUAAAUACUUAAGGAUGGUUCUUAUAAUCUUUUAAACCUUUAUAGAGAACAGAGAUGACAACCAAGCUUUUAUUUCCUGUAAUGUAGGGAUGUCAUUUCUGAUUAAGAGAAUUUCAUCCAAACAACACAAAGAAUAUUUUUAUAAAACUGUUAGCCCAUUUAUACAUACAAGAUUCUACUUCAUUUUCAAUGAAGCCAUACAUUCAAAACGUAUAUUCCAACUCUGAGAA
rnacentral:lncRNA from 1 species